ACAAACUAUGGUUCUUCGUUCUUCGUGUCCAACGUUUGUCUAUUCGUCUUAUAUAAAAUAUUUUUAUAAUUAGUAUUUUCAUUAUUGUUAGAUGAUAAAACAUGAUUAAUACUUUAUGCGUGACUUGUCUUUUUAAUUUUUUUCAUACUUUUUUUAAAUAAGACGGAUGGUCAAACGUUGGACAAAAAAACCCAUGAUUUAUA
rfam:Oryza sativa Japonica Group DNA, chromosome 3, cultivar: Nipponbare, complete sequence.